rnacentral:rRNA from 1 species
GACGAACGCUGGCGGCGUGCUUAACACAUGCAAGUCGAACGGAAAGGCCCCCACUUUUUUGGUGGGGGUGCUCGAGUGGCGAACGGGUGAGUAACACGUGGGUGAUCUGCCCUGUACUUCGGGAUAAGCUUGGGAAACUGGGUCUAAUACCGGAUAGGACCAUGGUUUAGUGUCUCAUGGUGGAAAAAUUAUUGUUUUGGUGCAGGAUGAGCUCGCGGCCUAUCAGCUUGUUGGUGGGGUAAUGGCCUACCAAGGCGUCGACGGGUAGCCGGCCUGAGAGGGUGGACGGCCACAUUGGGACUGAGAUACGGCCCAGACUCCUACGGGAGGCAGCAGUGGGGAAUAUUGCACAAGGGGCGCAAGCCUGAUGCAGCGACGCCGCGUGGGGGAUGACGGCCUUCGGGUUGGAAACUCCUUUCGUUAGGGACGAAGCCGCACCUUUUUUGGGUGUGGUGACGGUACCUUUGUUAAGAAGCACCGGCUAACUACGUG